rnacentral:lncRNA from 1 species
CUCGAUUAGCAUUAUUACAGUGGUCAAAAUAUUUUAAUUUCAUGUUGACUGGGUUCUAGUAAAUACUUUGUGGAGAAAUACUAAGGAAGUCAUUUGUGACAUUAGGUUACAAUAAGAUGGUGACUUCCAUCCCAGCUUUGCUUUCUCACUCUGUUAAAGCAUAGUUUACUCUAUGGAAACCAGCUUCCUGUCAUAAGGCAGCCCAGAGAGAAGGAACAUAGUUAUGUGUUGUGAAGACACUCAGCCUAUCAAGAGGUCCAUGUGAUGAGGAACUGAGGACCACUAGCAACUUUGAGGGAGUGUGGAAACAGAUCUUCCCCUGUCAACCUUGAGAGGACUACAUCCCUAUGUAACAGUCUGACUGCUACCUCUUGAGAGACCCUGAGGCAUAACCACCCAGCCAAGCCACUCCCGGACACUUAAUCCACAGAAACCAUGAACCAAUAGAUGCUGAUUGGUUUAAGCUGCUAAACUUGGAACAAUUUAUUGCACAGCAACAAAAGAGCAGAUCACCUGCUGUUAAUUUCUUGCAAUUUUGAAAGCAACAAUUCCCUGCAAGACAUUAAAAGAAACAACUCUUUAAGGUGGAAGUCUUCCAUAGGAAAAUAUAGAAUGAGUUGCUCAGAGGAGGGGACAGCAGAUGGAGCUGCUGGCAGUCAUUUCAGCAGAUCAAUGGGGUUGUUGAAAGCUGAGUUAUGAAAAGAGCAUUGAACCACAAGUGUAAGAAGAAAACAUGGGAAAUCUUAAGCAAAAAAUGGUAGGAUCCAAUUUAUAUUUUUAAAGAUCAUUCUGGUUGUUGAGAUGAGAACUG